rnacentral:rRNA from 1 species
GUGGGGAAUCUUGCGCAAUGGGCGAAAGCCUGACGCAGCCAUGCCGCGUGAAUGAUGAAGGUCUUAGGAUUGUAAAAUUCUUUCACCGGGGACGAUAAUGACGGUACCCGGAGAAGAAGCUCCGGCUAACUUCGUGCCAGCAGCCGCGGUAAUACGAAGGGGGCUAGCGUUGCUCGGAAUUACUGGGCGUAAAGGGCGCGUAGGCGGUUCAGUAAGUCGGGUGUGAAAGCUCCGAGCUCAACUCGGAGAGGCCACCCGAUACUGCUGUGACUUGAGUACAGUAGGGGAGCGUGGAAUUCCUGGUGUAGCGGUGAAAUGCGCAGAUAUCAGGAGGAACACCAGCGGCGAAGGCGGCGCUCUGGGCUGUAACUGACGCUGAGGAGCGAAAGUGUGGGUAGCAAACAGGAUUAGAUACCCGUGUAGUCC